rnacentral:rRNA from 1 species
CCUACGGGUGUCUGCAGUGGGGAAUAUUGGACAAUGGGCGAAAGCCUGAUCCAGCCAUGCCGCGUGUGUGAAGAAGGCCUUCGGGUUGUAAAGCACUUUCAGUGGGGAAGAAAGCCUUGGGGCUAAUACCCUCGAGGAAGGACAUCACCCACAGAAGAAGCACCGGCUAACUCCGUGCCAGCAGCCGCGGUAAUACGGAGGGUGCGAGCGUUAAUCGGAAUUACUGGGCGUAAAGCGGCGUAGGCGGUCUGAUAAGCCGGUUGUGAAAGCCCCGGGCUCAACCUGGGAACGGCAUCCGGAACUGUCAGGCUAGAGUGCAGGAGAGGAAGGUAGAAUUCCCGGUGUAGCGGUGAAAUGCGUAGAGAUCGGGAGGAAUACCAGUGGCGAAGGCGGCCUUCUGGACUGACACUGACGCUGAGGUGCGAAAGCGUGGGUAGCAAACAGGAUUAGAUACCCUUGUAGUC